AGGGAUCUGGGGGGCGGAGCGCUACAAAUUGGCGAUGUAGCAUUCUCGUCUUAUUUUUCGGUUCACAUGAACUAUGAUAAUGUCUCCCAUUGAGGAUGAUAAUUUCAUAGCUAAGAGAGGUGUCAAUAUGAUAGCUCCUAACAUGUUUAUGGAGAGGCAUCCUAGGAGGAUGUUGUAAGAAGUGCUUGCAUUAAGCAUUAACUACAAGAUACCUUAUGAAUAUCAUCUUGGUGUUCCGACCUUCACCAAACGUGGUGUAUAGGUAUAUAUAUCCCCAAGUUUCCACUUUCUAUAUAUCUGACAAUCUUAUCGAUGUGUGGGC
rnacentral:lncRNA from 1 species